GUCGAGAAUCUUUCACAAUGGGGGCAACCCUGAUGGAGCGACGCCGCGUGGAGGAUAAGGUCUUCGGAUUGUAAACUCCUGUCAUGCGAGAACAACGCCUCACGGCUUGAUAGUAUCGCAAGAGGAAGAGACGGCUAACUCUGUGCCAGCAGCCGCGGUAAUACAGAGGUCUCAAGCGUUGUUCGGAAUCAUUGGGCGUAAAGGGUGCGUAGGCGGCGUGGAAUGUCAGAUGUGAAAUUCGGCGGCUCAACCGCCAAAUUGCAUCCGAAACCUCCACGCUCGAGAAUCGUAGAGGAGCUUGGAAUUCUCGGUGUAGCAGUGAAAUGCGUAGAUAUCGAGAAGAACGCUCGUGGCGAAGGCGAAGCUCUGGGCGAUUUCUGACGCUGAUGCACGAAGGCUAGGGGAGCAAACGGGAUUAGAUACCCCAGUAGUCC
rnacentral:rRNA from 1 species